CACCAGAGAAGCUCCUGGGAUUGACUUUUAAAUAUAAUAUGAGGUAUGGAUCCAAUUUUACUGGUUUUUUUAAUACAGAUUCCUUAUUAUUUGGCACCAUUUAUUGGUAAGGCGCAUUAUUCCCACUAUCAGAUAUCCAGUGUUGAUAUACUCUGUGCAUCCAAUGUCAAUGUCUGUUGCUGAGUUCCCUCUUCAGUUUAUCGGGGAUUUGUCUGUCUUAUGUCAAUAACACACUGUCUUAAUUAUUAUAGCUUUAUAAUAGAUCUUGGUAUUUCAAAACAACUCAUUCUUGUUCUUCUUCAAAAGAAUCUUUGCUCUUUUUGGCCUUUUGUAUAUCCAUAAAAAUGUUAAGAUUGUAAGUGCCACAAAACUUUUAAGAGUGUUGAUUGGGAUUGCAUUGAAUCUACAAAUUGCUUUAGGGAGAACUGACUUUGUUACUAAAUAAUAAAUUCUAAACCAUGAAUUUGGCAUACCUCUCUAUUUACGUUUUCUUUAACACCUCUCUAAAAAGGUUAAUACUUCAUCCCAUAGAAGCCCUACACAUCUUUUGUAUCUAGAAGAUUGUGUGGCCUAUAAGAGGUACUCUGUGAAUGUUUGUUGAAUCAAUGAAUAGGUAGAUCCACAGAGACAAAAAGUGGAUUAGUGUUUGCCAGGGGCUCAUGGGGAAGAAGAAUCAGAAGUGACUGCUUAUGGACACAGGGUUUCUUUUGCGGGUGAUGAAAAUGUUCAGGAUUUAAAUAGUGGUGAUGAUUGCACAACCUUGUGACUAUACUAAAACCCAUUGAAUUAUACAUUGUAAAAGGGGUGAAUUGUAUGGAAUGUGAAUUAUAUUUCAAUAACGUUGUUU